rnacentral:ncRNA from 1 species
ACGAGAGAUGAAAAGAGUAGUCUUAGGUAUCAGUUGAGAGAGCCUUGUUGCUGAGAAAAGGUCUGAUAUUGGGAUGAACCACACUCAUCGCUAUCUUACUCACAUUAUUAUGUGAGCGUUAGCUGCGUUAAUGCUAAGUUGUUAUAACUUACCGAGGUCACUUUUGUGAAAAAGUGAUAAAUUAAGGUGGAACCACGAUUAAACCGUCCUUUAA